UUCUGCACUAACUUAAUCAGCAUCAUCCUAAGCACAAAUGAGUUCUUAGGAUUUCAUUCAUCCAAAGACUGGGAGGCUGGCCUGACCUUUCUUAGUUUAUAGAACACAAUGAGAUCACAGCCUAUUGCUUCAGGGGAAAAAUAGCAAAAGAUUAGUUUUAUGAUGAAGAUUUAAUAGAUUUGACAUGGCCAGAGGGCAUACCUGGUUUCUAACUUUCAUCUUCUAGCACUUUUUUUUUCUUUCCUUUAAUAAUGUGCACCUAUAAAAGUAAAUUCUUGCUUUUUAAAGUAAAGGAAGAUAUGAAGGUGCAAUAGCAACAAGUUGCUAGAAGUCCACGGAGAAGAUUUUGGAAAGAAACAUGAAUUCCUUAAUUCACGCCCUAGAGAAAUCCCAAACCUCAAAGUUUCAAGACGUUAUUUGUUAAAAGCACAGAGAAACAAUAAACCUCAGCAGGGAGGAAGGAGCAAGUUGUGAAACUUUAACAAGAUCUCCAAGGAAGCUUAGACAAAAAGGUACAAGGAGGACUUCUGGAUGCAGUCAAGCCUUAGAAAAGUAGAAGGUAUCAUCAUGCAGUGCUAUCUCCACAUGAGUUAACUUCUCUGUUUCACUCCUACUGCCUUCACUGCUCUGAUGACUGCAGGAUGAGCCAUCUCCAGCUAUCAAUAUGAGCUGAAUAACACCAAUGUUUCCUGUA